AUGUCACAGUUGCACGCUAUUAACGUACAACCUUUCUUCCCAAUUGAAAGUGCUUUACAACCCUAAGGCCUUCUUCACACACGCGGCAUGGCUGCGUCAGGCUUUCGCCCAUUGCGCAAUAUUCCCC
rnacentral:rRNA from 1 species